UUAGAGGGCUCAAGCUACUAAGUCUAAAAUCUAUUCUCUAUUCUCUAUUCUAUAAUUUAUAAUUCCAGUUUCUCUCUCUUCAAUUGGAUAAUUUACAAAUAAAUAUUUAUACAUAGGAUGAUUUUACGAUGCUGUUCAAAUACUUACUGGUCGCAAUGCUCCCAUGCAUUUUGGGAUUCUCCAAAAUUCGUAUAGGUGGAUUGUUUGAUGGCGAUGAAAUGAUCGAACAUACUUUUGAACUCUCAGUAAAAAUGAUUAACAAAAACAGAAAUUCGGAUCGACACUUAUCCAGGAGGUUUCUGUACACAGAAACGCGUAAAAUUGAUGAAAAUGCAUUCGAUGUAGCUGAAAAAGCCUGUGAAAUUCUGGAUGUGGGGGUUGCAGCGAUUAUUGGUCCCCAAAAUAAAGCAAGUGCUUGUCACGUACAAAGUAUGUGUGACGCAAUGGAAAUCCCACACAUUUCUACUAUAAUGGAGCUUGAUCAAGAUCGAUUAAAAGGCAUAAAUAUGCAUCCAUACGUCAGAACGUACACCAUGGUCUUCUAUCAUCUUGUAAAGGACUAUAAAUGGAAAACUUACACAAUAAUAUAUGACAGUGAUAUCAGUUUAAUUCGUAUGACUCCACUUCUUACAUUUUAUACCACUACUGGCUAUACGGUAACGAUUCGUCGUAUGGAAGGUCCAGAUUACAGGGCUGUACUAAGAGAAGUCAAAAGAUCAAAAGAAGAAAAUAUUAUUAUAGAUUGUGAUAUUAAAAUUCUUCUUGAUGUACUCACGCAGGCUCAACAAGUCGGUUUAAUAUCCGACAGGUACAAAAUGAUUAUCUGUUCUUUGGACUUACACACUCUUGACCUAGAACCUUUUCAAUAUUCGGGGAUGAAUUUGACCGCAGUUCGAUUGAUAGACCCUGAAGAUUACAUGGUCCGCAGAAUAAUAGAAGAUUUCUUUGCACCCCUAGGGAUAACUGAAGCAAACCAGCUAACUUUAGAACAAGCUUUAAUGUUCGAUGGAGUUCAACUUUUUGCACGAGCUUUUAAGCAACUCAGUGAUUCUGUUAAGGGUGAAUUGAAACAGUUGCCCUGUGAUGGAUCUGAAAGCUGGGAACAUGGAAUAAGCCUGAGCAACUUCAUAAGAUCUACUGAAAUGCGAGGCCUAACAGGUUUGGUGAAAUUUGACACCUACGGAUUUCGUACGGACUUUCAGCUUGACAUUUUGAAUGUUGGUUGGAAUGGAAUAACAAAAAUUGGAACUUGGAACAGUACCACUAACAUUGACUGGAUACCGGAAAAUACUGUAACUGAUCCGAAUGCGGGGUUAACUCUCCGAAAUAUGACUUUUAGAGUACUCAUAUCACUGACAAAACCGUAUGCAAUGCUGAAAGAAUCAUCAAUAAAGAAAGUAGGCAAUGAUCGAUUUGAAGGCUUCGGAGUAGACGUUAUUAUUGAAUUAAGCAAAGCAUUGGGUUUUAAUUAUACUUUUGUACAACAUGAUCCAGUUUAUGGAAGUUACGACAAUAAAACCGGACAAUGGACUGGAAUGCUCAGGAAGAUAAUGGAUAAUGAUGCCGAGUUAGCAAUUACGGACUUGACAAUUACAGCUGAACGUGAGAGUGCAGUGGAUUUUACUAUGCCCUUUAUGAAUCUAGGAAUCAGUAUCUUAUUCACAAAACCAAAGAAAGCUCCACCAAAGUUGAUGUCCUUCUUGUCACCAUUUUCUAAUGAGGUUUGGAUUUACACAAUUGGCGCUUGGAUAUUUGUGUCACUCGAAUUUUUCAUUAUUGGAAGAAUGUGUCCGGAAGAGUGGAACAAUCCCUAUCCUUGUAUUGAAGAACCUGAAGAGCUCUAUAAUCAAUUCUCUCUUAAAAACGCUUAUUGGUUCACUAUUGGUGCUAUGAUGCAGCAAGGGUCUGAACUCGCACCUAUAGGUGUUUCAACGAGAAUGCUAGCCGGAAGUUGGUGGUUUUUCUGUCUUAUUAUGGCAAACUCCUAUACUGCCAAUCUCGCUGCAUUCUUGACUGCAGAACCUGUUGAAACAUUAUUCACAAACGUUAAAGAGCUCGCCAGUCAGGAUAAGAUAAAGUAUGGUGCAAAACGUGGUGGCUCGACACUCUCAUUUUUUGAACAUUCGACCAAUUCUAUGUAUCAAAAUAUGUACAAAUUCAUGAUGGACAAUGCUGCAGAAUGUUUGACUGAUUCAAAUGACGAAGGAAAGGAUAAAGUACUGAAAGGCGAUUAUGCAUAUUUUAUGGAAUCUUCCACAAUUGAAUAUUUAAGCGAAAGAGAAUGUGACCUUGAUCAAGUCAAUGGUCUUCUUGACCAAAAAGGCUACGGAAUCGCUAUGAGAAAAAACUCAACUUACCGUAAUGAUUUGAGUUCUGGUGUGCUUCAACUUCAAGAGAAUGGAAUACUUGCUAAUUUGAAAACUCAGUGGUGGAAACAAAAACGUGGAGGUGGAAGAUGUGAGCAAGAUUCUGGGACGAGCGCACCUAGUAAGCUAAAUCUGUCAAAUUUAGGAGGAGUAUACUUAGUCUUGGCAGUUGGUAUUGUCCUGUCCUUUUUCAUGACAUUGGUGGAAAUGUUAUGGGAAAUAGGAUGCAAUUCAUUUAAGUACAAUGUCUCAGUUAAAGAGGAACUGAUAGACGAAAUAAAAUUUAUAGUACAAUUCAGUGGUUCUAGCAAACCAGUUAAAAAAAGGAACGACUCAUCGCAUAAAAGUUCAAAAGAUUCUAAGGAUUCUACGCCUCCUUAUGGAUUUGUACCUUCUGUUGUAACCACUGGUCCAUGUGAAGAAACUAAAACUUAAUUAAAAUCUUAGAUAUAGUUUUUCUAAUGAAAUAAUUAUAUAAAAUCUAUAUUUAAAAUACAAAAGUAUAUUGAAAAGGAUUUAUUCGUUUAGUUACAUAGAUUACUAUGGAAAAAGCUAUUGCAGGAAAAUCCAGGUGGCCUGCAAUUUACAGCGACGCUCGGUUCGUGAACAAGCAAUCGCUUGACAUCGCUUGCCAUUGCCCGAUGUGCCAUGAGAACUGUGCAACGCCUUUGAAGCGAUUGUAUAGAUUUGCAAGAGUAAUAACACCUUUGAAAAACAGUUUUUUUUAUGUUACUUUUUUAUUUUUCAAUAACUAUUUUUUAAAAACUAUUUGAACUAU